GUAGUCCACGCCCUAAACGAUGAAUACUAGUUGUCGGGGUUUCUAAUUGCCUCGGUGACGCAGCUAACGCAUUAAGUAUUCCGCCUGGGAAUUACGAUCGCAAGAUUAAAACUCAAAGGAAUUGACGGGGCCCGCACAAGCGGUGGAGCAUGUGGUUUAAUUCGAUGCUACGCGAAGAACCUUACCUAGGCUUGACAUCCCACGCUACCCGGUGAAAGCCGGGGUUCUCUUCGGAGACGUGGAGACAGGUGCUGCAUGGCUGUCGUCAGCUCGUGUUGUGAGAUGUUGGGUUAAG
rnacentral:rRNA from 1 species